UACAGAGGGGGCAAGCGUUGUUCGGAAUUACUGGGCGUAAAGGGCGCGUAGGCGGCCUGUUAAGUCGAACGUGAAGUCCCCGGGCUCAACCCGGGAACUGCGUCCGAUACUGGCAGGCUUGAAUCCGGGAGAGGGAUGCGGAAUUCCAGGUGUAGCGGUGAAAUGCGUAGAUAUCUGGAGGAACACCGGUGGCGAAGGCGGCAUCCUGGACCGGUAUUGACGCUGAGGCGCGAAAGCCAGGGGAGCAAACGGG
rnacentral:rRNA from 1 species